ACUCCUACGGGAGGCAGCAGUGGGGAAUAUUGGACAAUGGGGGGAACCCUGAUCCAGCCAUGCCGCGUGUGUGAAGAAGGCCUUAUGGUUGUAAAGCACUUUAAGCGAGGAGGAGGCUACUGAGACUAAUACUCUUGGAUAGUGGACGUUACUCGCAGAAUAAGCACCGGCUAACUCUGUGCCAGCAGCCGCGGUAAUACAGAGGGUGCGAGCGUUAAUCGGAUUUACUGGGCGUAAAGCGUGCGUAGGCGGCUUUUUAAGUCGGAUGUGAAAUCCCCGAGCUUAACUUGGGAAUUGCAUUCGAUACUGGGAAGCUAGAGUAUGGGAGAGGAUGGUAGAAUUCCAGGUGUAGCGGUGAAAUGCGUAGAGAUCUGGAGGAAUACCGAUGGCGAAGGCAGCCAUCUGGCCUAAUACUGACGCUGAGGUACGAAAGCAUGGGGAGCAAACAGGAUUAGAUACCCUGGUAGUCCAUGCCGUAAACGAUGUCUACUAGCCGUUGGGGCCUUUAGGGCUUUAGUGGCGCAGCUAACGCGAUAAGUAGACCGCCUGGGGAGUACGGUCGCAAGACUAAAACUCAAAUGAAUUGACGGGGGCCCGCACAAGCGGUGGAGCAUGUGG
rnacentral:rRNA from 1 species